rnacentral:rRNA from 1 species
GAAGGGACCUAGCGUAGUUCGGAAUUACUGGGCUUAAAGAGUUCGUAGGUGGUUGAAAAAGUUGGUGGUGAAAUCCCAGAGCUUAACUCUGGAACUGCCAUCAAAACUUUUCAGCUAGAGUAUGAUAGAGGAAAGCAGAAUUUCUAGUGUAGAGGUGAAAUUCGUAGAUAUUAGAAAGAAUACCAAUUGCGAAGGCAGCUUUCUGGAUCAUUACUGACACUGAGGAACGAAAGCAUGGGUAGCGAAGAGGAUUAGAUACCCUCGUAGUCCAUGCCGUAAACGAUGUGUGUUAGACGUUGGAAUUUA